GCUGGGGUGGCGGAACGGCAGACGCGCAGGUCUCAGAAGCCUGUCCCCGAAAGGGCGGUGCGGGUUCAAAUCCCGCCCUCAGCACCA
rnacentral:tRNA from 1 species